AAGCGGUUGCCUUCUGAGGGCUGAAGCGUAUAUCAGUACCAGGUUCAGACUUCGUGGGAGGCUUUAAGAGGGGGGGAAGGGCCUAUGAUAAUACAUUGGCGUGGACAUGUGCGUCUUAAGUUUGGGAAAGUGUUAUGAGAGGUGGUUGGGACCACCGAGCGUCUGCUUUGGUGUAUCUGAUGGCCCCAUUCUCCGUGAGGUUAGGCCCAUUCUCCGUGAGGUUAUGUGAUUUGAUAUGUGACCCUAUAUGCAUCUCUGUGGGUGUUUGGUUGACACUUGAGCUGUAGAGUGUGUCUGCUGUGUGACUUUUUCUUAAUUGUUUAAUCUUUAUGAGCUUCAGUUGCUCAUGUGUGCACGGAACAAUAUUUCUUAGCUAAUAGUGUUGCGAGGAUUAAGUGCUCAUAAAUGUGCCUGGCACAAAAUAAGCAAUGAAUGGAGAAACUGUGCUUCAGUGCAUUAUUUAGAUCAUGGGCUUUUAGGUCAUUUGAUUCUACUUUGUCAUUGUUUUGAGCUAUUUACCAACUCACAUUGUGGAUCA
rnacentral:lncRNA from 1 species